UGGGGAAUUUUGGACAAUGGGCGAAAGCCUGAUCCAGCAAUGCCGCGUGUGUGAAGAAGGCCUUCGGGUUGUAAAGCACUUUUGUCCGGAAAGAAAUCCUUGGCUCUAAUACAGUCGGGGGAUGACGGUACCGGAAGAAUAAGCACCGGCUAACUACGUGCCAGCAGCCGCGGUAAUACGUAGGGUGCAAGCGUUAAUCGGAAUUACUGGGCGUAAAGCGUGCGCAGGCGGUUUGCUAAGACCGAUGUGAAAUCCCCGGGCUCAACCUGGGAACUGCAUUGGUGACUGGCAGGCUAGAGUAUGGCAGAGGGGGGUAGAAUUCCACGUGUAGCAGUGAAAUGCGUAGAGAUGUGGAGGAAUACCGAUGGCGAAGGCAGCCCCCUGGGCCAAUACUGACGCUCAUGCACGAAAGCGUGGGGAGCAAACAGGAUUAGAUACCAUGGUAGUCCACGCCCUAAACGAUGUCAACUAGUUGUUGGGGAUUCAUUCCUUAGUAACGUAGCUAACGCGUGAAGUUGACCGCCUGGGGAGUACGGUCGCAAGAUUAAAACUUAAAGGAAUUGACGGGGUCAUAGCUGUUUCCU
rnacentral:rRNA from 1 species